rnacentral:lncRNA from 1 species
AGAACCGAAAGCUGAGGUGGCAAAGUUCCUGACUGGGUGACAGGAAGAGGUCGGUGGGUCUGGUUGAGCCCUUGUUUCCAGAAAGGAGAUUAGGAAAACGAAAAAAAGGUUCUUGCAUACCAACAUCCCCUCCGCCACCUCUCCUGCUCCACGUCCUUCCUUUCGGGAGGAGGGGAACAAAAAAAAAAGGGUAUGUUAAAAAAAAAAUUUUUUUUUUUUAAAAAAGGGUAUGUUCAAGAUGACCUUUUAUGUAUUUAUUUGGUUUUGUUUUAUGUUUUUGUUUUUGGUACCGGGGGAUCGAACUCAGGACCUUGUGCUCGUGAGGCAGACCCGGUGCCACUGAGCUAAAUCCCCGGCCCUCAUCUGGGUUUUUUGAGACAGUCUCACUAGUACGCUGUUCACUGGCCUUGAACUCACUGUGUGGCCCGCACAGUCCUGGAACUCGUGUUCCUUCUUCCUCAGCCUCCCAGGUGGACUGGACACUUAUACAUCCUGGGCUCUGAUUGAGCACUGUACUACUGUACACCAUCGCACUGUACAGUAAGAACACAGCACCACAACUGUGACAACAUCUGGCAGACAUGGGAGCUAUUUCCACAGUUCUACGUAUAGAUUUCUGGGCCUCCAGCUUUAUUCAGAAGGCUAUUUACUCCUCACCUUAAACAUGCCCUGGACUUUAACUUCCAUGCUGAAUGAAGAAGCUAAAAGGUCUUAAAAGCAAAGAUUCACAUUCUUUAAGAUUUAGUACAAAUACUGGGCAUGGUGGCCCAUGCCUGUAAUCCCAGCAUUUGGGAGGCUGAAGCAGGAGGAUUGCUGUGAGUUCGAGGCCAGUUUUGAAAAGUCUACAUAGUGAGGCCUUUCUCAAAAAAAAAAAAAUUAGUAGAAACCUUCAGUGCAAAUACUGGCAUUAGCACAUUCUUAAUUUUCAGGAUCUCUGAGUUCACUUUGUUUAGAGGCUUCUGCAAAAUUAUUAUUUUCCUACUGCUCAGUAAUGCAUUUUAAAUUACUUUAUAUCCCUUACUGUGUUUAGUUUGGAGGGUUAUUCAGGGUAUCUAAUUGACAACACUGUCUGAAACAGAAUUCUGCAUUUGCUUAACCUAUGACAUAAAGAUGUUGACC